UGGGGAAUAUUGCACAAUGGGCGAAAGCCUGAUGCAGCGACGCCGCGUGAGGGAUGACGGCCUUCGGGUUGUAAACCUCUUUCAGUAGGGAACAAGGCUACACGUUGUGUGGUUGAGGGUACUUGCAGAAGAAGCACCGGCUAACUACGUGCCAGCAGCCGCGGUAAUACGUAGGGUGCAAGCGUUAUCCGGAAUUAUUGGGCGUAAAGAGCUCGUAGGCGGUUUGUCGCGUCUGCCGUGAAAGUCCGGGGCUCAACCCCGGGAUCUGCGGUGGGUACGGGCAGACUAGAGUGAUGUAGGGGAGACUGGAAUUCCUGGUGUAGCGGUGAAAUGCGCAGAUAUCAGGAGGAACACCGAUGGCGAAGGCAGGUCUCUGGGCAUUAACUGACGCUGAGGAGC
rnacentral:rRNA from 1 species